GUCAUAUAUGAUUACAAAAAUUGCUAUUUUCAUUAUGUUACAUUACAAACUGUAAGAUUCCACUUUGCAUGAUGCCCAAGACUCUUUAGGUUUGGCCCCUCAGUGAAUCUCAUGCAUCAUCUCUUGCUCUCCUUCUCCACCCUGCUUCCUCCCAAGUUCCAGUCACACAGAAUGGGUUACAGAUCCCAGAGUGCGUUUAGUGCCUCCUCCCCCAGCCUUGGCCCUUUGCUAUGAUUUUUUUUUAUUUUUUGCAAAAUAGCCUUCCUCUUUUCACCUUCAUAACUGCUACUUACUUGUCCCUGAGAAUUCAGCUCAGUGUGUUCUAGUAAGACCCUGUGCAUGGCUCUAUUCUGCUAUUUGUCCCACUAUACUACAAUUGACUCUGUACUAGCUUCCCUACUACAAUCCUCUACAUCACAAAGAUUAAGGCUCUCACAUUUUCUGAGCUUCCUCUAGCCAAGCAGUCUGGUUCUCAGACUUUCCUCACAGCAUGGCCCCCAAAUGCCAGUCUCCCCUCCCACCUCAAAAGUAGAAACCAAGACUUACUGCCCCAAGGCUGGAAGACACAUUGGCCUCUCUGGGCAGGCCAAAGAAGAAAGAAAAAGAAUAGCAAGAAUCAACUGAACAUAUUGAUGAAGUACAAAAUAAAGUAGACAGACUUAAUGAACAAGCCAGUGAGUAGAUUUUGAAAGUAGAACAGAAAUAUAACAACUCCACCAACCACUCUUUCAGAAGAGGUCAAAAUUGAUCACCCAAAUCCCAAAUUGUAGCGUAACAUUUGUCAGACAUCCACAAGUGUCUGCACUGCUUGGGGAGGAGGACGAAGAGGCACUAAAUUUGUUGAUCAGAGUCGAAGAGACAGAAUUUGAAGAUAAUAAAUCAGAAUAGAUUUUUACAGAAUAGAUUUUUAUUUUGAUGAAAAUCCAUACUUUGAAAAUAAAGUUCUCUCCAAAGAAUUUCACCUGAAUGAGAGUGGUGAUCCAUCUUCAAAGUCCACUGAAAUCAAAUGGAAAUCUGGAAAAAAUUUGAUGAAGCAUUUCAGUCAAAUGCAGAGUAAAGCCAGCAGGAAGACGCAGCAUGAGGAACCAAAGAGCCUCUUUACCUGGCUUAUUGACCGUUCUGAUGCGGGUGCAGAUAAACUAGGAGAGGUCGUCAAAGAUGACAUUUGGCCAAAUUCAUUAUAGUACUAUGUGGCUCCUGAUAUGGAUGAUGAAGAAGGGGAAAGAGAAGAUGCUGCUGCUGAAGAACAAGGUUUGGAAGAUAAUGAUGAAGCAGUGGAUGAAGAUGAAGGUGAAAAAGAUGAAAAUGACAUUGAAGAAGAGAAAAGAGAGGAGGAUGAAGGAGAAGAUGAUAACAGAACAGGGAUGGAUUUCAACCUUCUCUUUUAAAAAUUUUCCCUAGUCCCUGGGAGCAAGUUACAGUCUUUAUUUUUUUUUUUCUUUUGUGCUCAGUUGUCCUCUUCUUGAGAUCUCUUUUCUCUACACCAUGGUUCUCAACUUAUUUGGGUGGGGAAGGGGGAGAUACCUGGAGCAGAAUACAAUGGGAACAGAAUCUCUACCCCUUUCUGUUCUAAAUUCAUUUUUAUCCCUUCCUGUCUCAACAAAAACUGUAUGGAAUCACCACCACUGAGCUCUAUGGGAAAAAAGACAAACCUGCUCCCUUCACUCUGCUGGAAGCUGGAAGUAGUAGUGCAGAGAAUUCUAGCUUUUUCCCUCCUUUCUCUGUGUACUGGGCUCAGAAAGUACACUGUGUCUCUGUGUGAAUGUGGACAGUCAGCUCUUACCAACAUGUAUGUCUACCUUCUCUUAUUUAAAAAAGAAAAAAGGCCAGACAUGGUGGCUC